AGAGUCGUGGGGAUUUUACGGGUGGAGUUACUCCGAAACCUUUAAGGCCGAGUGUGAUAGGUAGUUCAAAGCUUCCUGUUUCUUCAGUCUGACAGCUUCAAAUGUCCCGGGUUGUGCUCAAAGCCUCCCUCUUGUGAGAAGAAUCUCUUUGGUUGCCUGUUAAAGCGGUCAGCCAGCUUGCAACACGGAAGCAGCUUUUAGAGGAAUUAAAACCAAAACAAGGAGCAAAUUCUGGAUUAAAAAGAUAUUUGCAACCAUUCUUCCAAUCAAUUUUAGAAAAUUUCCACCACCUCAAAAAGAAAUCCUGAUGAAGAAACAUCCUGAGAAGGUUGACAUGCUGAAUGCCUUAAAGAACUUCAAUUGGGAUGCCAGAUGAAAGUGUAACUAGAAUUUCUAUGGCUUAAAUAACGAGAAUAUUCCAUAGGGGAAAGAAGGAGAGCUGAGAAUGCACAGAAAUUUUCAUGUGCCAAGUUUGGAAGUGAUGGUGUCAGAAGCAGGAUCCCAAGCAGAGCUUCUAGUGACCUCCAGGAGCGCUGAGUGAACACUCGAGGUACCAGCACUCGAGGACCCACUUGUGUCCAUGGAUCUCUCAGAGCGGCUCCGGAUGGUGGGUAAGCUCACUCUCAGAUUUUGGAGCUCCAUGGAUUUGCGUUUUGAGCUCUCUGAGUUUCUUUGAGCAAAUUUCUAAUCCAAACUGGGUUUGGAGUCACGAAACAAACUGGACUGGGUCCAGGAACAGAUUUGAUCUGGGAAUUAACUGGUUUGGAUCCAGGUAGAGGCCUCUU
rnacentral:lncRNA from 1 species